AUUGAACGCUGGCGGCCGGCCUAACACAUGCAAGUAGAGCGGAGCGGCGGACGGGUGAGUAAUGCCUAGAAAUCUGCCUGGUAGUGGGGGAUAACGUCCGGCAACGGGCGCUAAUACCGCAUACUAUCAGAUGAGCCUAGGUCGGAUUAGCUAGUUGGUGGGGUAAAGGCCUACCAAGGCGACGAUCCGCAACUGGUCUGAGAGGAGGAUCAGUCACACUGGAACUUAGACACGGUCCAGACUCCUAAGGUAGGCAGCAUUGGGGAAUAGUGGACAAUGGGCUAAGGCCUGAUCCAGCCAUGCCGCGGGUGUGAAGAAGGUCUUCGGAGUGUAAAGCACUUUAAGUUGGGAGGCGUUACCAACAGAAUAAGCACCGGCUAACUUCGUGCCAGCAGCCGCGGUAAUUC
rnacentral:rRNA from 1 species